UUUGCAGAUAAAACAUACAAUCACUGCUCUUAAAGCAAUUGUCUCCAUCUGUCGUUCUCUCCCUUUCAACAUCACAACCACAACCCACAGCCGACCUUGCACUCUUUACUCUUCGUUUCCCAUUCCGUGUUUACCGUCGUUGUCUCCAGCCAGAAAAGAAUCAUGAAUUUGUCAUCGUCAUUCAGGUUUCAAUCAUUAUCUCAGGCGUUAAUCAACUUGUCAUCAAAUAGUUUCGUUGUUGUGUCGUCGUCUGAAUCGCCUCAUCGUCACUCAACUCGCCGUUCAAUGUGUUCCAAUCACUUCAAAUCUUCCCGUUCAGUGUUCGAACAGCUCUAUUCGUCUAAUGUUUGCGUUUAACAAUGACAAGUUUGGUGACAACGAAACAAGAUUAUACUAGAUAUGAAUUCUAUCUGAAGUUGCAGUGAAGAGUUGAAGAAGUGAAGUUCCAGGUUGAAGUAAUAAAGAACAGAGAUGGAAAUUUCCAUUUGAUGAAUUAGAUAUAUGUUAAUAUAUUUAAAUCUAUGGAUUGAGGCUUGCUAUCUUUAACAGUAUGAUUGGAACAAUAAAAACCAAAAACUAGUAAUUACUUUUUCAUAUGUAAAUAUUAAUAUCUGGUCCUGU